rnacentral:rRNA from 1 species
UACGUAGGGGGCAAGCGUUGUCCGGAUUUAUUGGGCGUAAAGAGCGUGUAGGCGGCCAGACAGGUCCGUUGUGAAAACUCGAGGCUCAACCUCGAGAUGUCGAUGGAAACCGUCUGGCUAGAGUCCGGAAGAGGAGUGUGGAAUUCCUGGUGUAGCGGUGAAAUGCGCAGAUAUCAGGAAGAACACCUAUGGCGAAGGCAGCACUCUGGGACGGUACUGACGCUGAGGAGCGAAAGCGUGGGGAGCGAACAGG